AGAGUUUGAUCAUGGCUCAGAUUGAACGCUGGCGGCAGGCCUAACACAUGCAAGUCGAACGGUAACAGGAAGAAGCUUGCUACUUUGCUGACGAGUGGCGGACGGGUGAGUAAUGUCUGGGAAACUGCCUGAUGGAGGGGGAUAACUACUGGAAACGGUAGCUAAUACCGCAUAACGUCGCAAGACCAAAGAGGGGGACCUUCGGGCCUCUUGCCAUCGGAUGUGCCCAGAUGGGAUUAGCUAGUAGGUGGGGUAACGGCUCACCUAGGCAACGAUCCCUAGCUGGUCUGAGAGGAUGACCAGCCACACUGGAACUGAGACACGGUCCAGACUCCUACGGGAGGCAGCAGUGGGGAAUAUUGCACAAUGGGCGCAAGCCUGAUGCAGCCAUGCCGCGUGUAUGAAGAAGGCCUUCGGGUUGUAAAGUACUUUCAGCGGGGAGGAAGGGAGUAAAGUUAAUACCUUUGCUCAUUGACGUUACCCGCAGAAGAAGCACCGGCUAACUCCGUGCCAGCAGCCGCGGUAAUACGGAGGGUGCGAGCGUUAAUCGGAAUUACUGGGCGUAAAGCGCACGCAGGCGGUUUGUUAAGUCAGAUGUGAGAUCCCCGGGCUCAACCUGGGAACUGCAUCUGAUACUGGCAAGCUUGAGUCUCGUAGAGGGGGGUAGAAUUCCAGGUGUAGCGGUGAAAUGCGUAGAGAUCUGGAGGAUUACCGGUGGCGAAGGCGGCCCCCUGGACGAAGACUGACGCUCAGGUGCGAAAGCGUGGGGAGCAAACAGGAUUAGAUACCCUGGUAGUCCACGCCGUAAACGAUGUCGACUUGGAGGUUGUGCCCUUGAGGCGUGGCUUCCGGAGCUAACGCGUUAAGUCGACCGCCUGGGGAGUACGGCCGCAAGGUUAAAACUCAAAUGAAUUGACGGGGGCCCGCACAAGCGGUGGAGCAUGUGGUUUAAUUCGAUGCAACGCGAAGAACCUUACCUGGUCUUGACAUCCACAGAACUUUCCAGAGAUGGAUUGGUGCCUUCGGGAACUGUGAGACAGGUGCUGCAUGGCUGUCGUCAGCUCGUGUUGUGAAAUGUUGGGUUAAGUCCCGCAACGAGCGCAACCCUUAUCUUUUGUUGCCAGCGGUCCGGCCGGGAACUCAAAGGAGACUGCCAGUGAUAAACUGGAGGAAGGUGGGGAUGACGUCAGGUCAUCAUGGCCCUUACGACCAGGGCUACACACGUGCUACAAUGGCGCAUACAAAGAGAAGCGACCUCGCGAGAGCAAGCGGACCUCAUAAAGUGCGUCGUAGUCCGGAUUGGAGUCUGCAACUCGACUCCAUGAAGUCGGAAUCGCUAGUAAUCGUGGAUCAGAAUGCCACGGUGAAUACGUUCCCGGGCCUUGUACGCACCGCCCGUCACACCAUGGGAGUGGGUUGCAAAAGAAGUAGGUAGCUUAACCUUCGGGAGGGCGCUUACCACUUUGUGAUUCAUGACUGGGGUGAAGUCGGAGCAAGGUAACCGUAGGGGAACCUGCGGUUG
rnacentral:rRNA from 1 species